GUUAAUCAGAAAUGUAGUUAUUCUCUAGUUAUAUAUGUAAAAUCGAUGGAAAGUGAAAUCUUACGGGCAAAUGCCAAAUCUCACUGACAAAUCUAAAAAAAAAUACUGAGAGACAACAAUAUAGGUAAACAGGUCUGGUCCAGAUUGACCUUGACUUUUGAUCCUGUGACCUCAAAAUCAUCAGGAGCCAUCUACUCCCUAGAUACAAACAGUAAAACAAGUUUGAUGUCUGUCAAGCAAAAAGUUUUCCAGACACAGAACCAGGCAUGUCCGUGACUGUUUGUCUCCUUGGCAUCAUACUUACAGCUACAGUCCUUUUGGAUGGCCUACCCAUUUCUAAGUCAAAUGGACCAGGAAAACCAGAAUUUCUAGGAGGGUCCACAGUUCUCCGUUCUUAUGCAGGAUUUGGUUUUUGUUUAGAGAAACAUAUGAAUGGAUCCAUUGUCUGUCAAGAAUUCGCUGUGGAGUGCCAUGAUUAUUGUAAAUCACUUCAACCUGUGUGAAACUCUGAAAAUUGUUCCUUAACUUCUUACUGGUUGAAAGCUGUUAACAUCAUGUUUGAGUUCUUUUUCAAUAUAUUAAGUAUGUACAAAUAUAAAUUACAAAAAUUAAGCCGGGCUUCUCCAAACAUAUACAAAUGGAAAGAUGGAAUAAAAUGUGAAUAAAGUGUUUUAACAAAAGACA